rnacentral:rRNA from 1 species
AGCAAAUCCCAUAAACCGUGGCUCAGUUCAGAUCGUAGGCUGCAACUCGCCUACGUGAAGGAGGAAUCGCUAGUAAUCGCAGGUCAGCAUACUGCGGUGAAUACGUUCCCGGGCCUUGUACACACCGCCCGUCACACCAUGGAAGUUGGCCACGCCCGAAGUCGUUACUCCAACCCUCUGGGAGGAGGACGCCGAAGGUGGGGCUGAUGACUGGGGUGAAGUCGUAACAAGGUAGCCGUACCGGAAGGUGCGGCUGGAUCACCUCCUAA